UUCGGAAUAUUCGGCAAUGGACGCAAGUCUGACCGAGCGACGCCGCGUGCGGGAUGAAGGCCCUCUGGGUUGUAAACCGCUGUCACGAGUGAGCAAAUUGCUUAGUUUUAAUAAAAUUGAGCAUUGAGUUAAGCUCGAGAGGAAGCCCCCGCUAAUCACGUGCCAGCAGCGGCGGUAAUACGUGAGGGGCAAACGUUGUUCGGUGUCACUGGGCUUAAAGGGCGCGUAGGUGGCUGCGUAAGUAAGGUGUGAAAUCCCCCGGCUUACCCGGGGAACUGCGCCUUAUAGUGCGUGGCUUGAGGAUCACAGGGGAAGGGGGAACUCCAGGUGUAGCGGUGAAAUGCGCAGAUAUCUGGGGGAAGGCCGGCGGCGAAGGCGCCCUUCUGGGUGAUUCCUGACACUGAGGCGCGAAAGCGUGGGGAGCAAACA
rnacentral:rRNA from 1 species